UAUAACUACCUCAGUACUGACAGACAGACAGGCAGAACUACCUCAGUACUGACAGACAGGCAGACAGAACUACCUCAGUACUGACAGACAGACAGGCAGA